rfam:Picea glauca, whole genome shotgun sequence.
UCACUGUGAUGAAUCUUCUGUUCCAAAGCAGCUUCGGCUCUGUGAUGGAAUAACAACCCUCUAAGAAGUUCUGAGUGA